rnacentral:lncRNA from 1 species
CUCAAAUGUUUGGUAGAAUUCUUCAGUGCUAACACCAUUGGUGUGUGAAAAUUUCUUUGGGGGAGGAGUUUUUGUUUCAAUUGUAUUUCAGUUUCCUUAAUAUUUAUUUGAUUCUUAAAUUUUCUGUUUCACAGUGGGCAGUUGUAGUGGUUUGUUUUGCUUUGCUGUUGUUCAUAGGAAUUGUUCUAGUCCAUCUAAGUUGCUGACUUUAAAUGUGUACUGUUACUCAUAGUUUUCCCUUAUUGUCAUUUUAAGUCUUCAGGGUUUACAGCAAUACCCCGUUUCAUCAUUUAUAUUGGUUAUUUGUGUCUAUUCUCUUUUUUUCAUCGUCAAUCUUUCUAGAAGCUUGUCUGUUUUAUUAAUCUUUCCAAAGAACAAAGUCUUCAUUAUGUUGAUUUUCUUCACUUUUUUAUUUCAUUGAUUUAUGCUCUUAUCUCUCUUAUUCCCUUCCUUCUGCUUGUAUAACAUUUAUUUUUGCCCUUCUUUUUCCAGAAUAUUAACUUGAGAAUGUUUUUUUUUCUAAGUGUGCUUCUAGUGCUAUAAAUUUUUCUCCUAGGACAGCUUUAGUAUUUUGAUAUUUUGUAUAAAGUUCAGUGUAUUUUUUAUUUUCUUGAGUUUCCAAAUGUUUGGAGAAUUUUCUGUAAUUUCCUAGCAUUAAAUUCUAGAAUACAUUGUAUGAUUUCAGUUCUUUAAAAUGUGUUAAGUUUUUGUUUUGUUUUUAGAGACCAGGAUAUGAUUUAUUUUGGUAUACAUUCUGUGUGCACUUGAAAAGGAUGUGCACUCUGCCACCAUUCAACAGAGUGCUCUAGAAAUGUCAAUUCGAUUCUCUUGGUUAGUGGUGUUGAAUUUUUCUAUAUCCUUGCAUUCUAUACCCUUGUCAAUUUUGUAUCUGUUUUAUUUUAUCAAUUUUUUUUAUCAAUUGUUGUGAGGGAGAUGCUAUGGUAUUCAACUAUAAUUGUAGUUUUACUUCUCCAUUCAGUCCUAUCGGUUUUGCUUCAC